GACUUACAUGUAUUUGAGUACCCGCUGUGUGAUAGGCACACUGCUGAGGGCCAUUUACAGUCUCACUAUUAAGCACUUUGACCCCUAAGAAACUUCCUGCAGUUCACAUCAG
rnacentral:lncRNA from 1 species